rnacentral:rRNA from 1 species
AACGAACGCUGGCGGCAUGCCUAACACAUGCAAGUCGAACGGGACCUUCGGGUCUAGUUGCGCACGUCUGCUUAACGCCUGGUAACCUGCCCUUAGGUUCGGAAUAACUGCCCUAAGGGUGUGUUAAUACCGGUUAAUGUCUUCCGGCCAAAGACUUAUCGCGAUUUGCUGGGCGCUGGAUGGAUUCGCUAGUUGGUAGGGUACUAGCAUACCAAGGCGACGAUGCAUAGCUGGUCUGUGAGGAUGAUCAGCCACAAUGGGACUGCGACACGGACCAGAAUCGUACGCGGGGGAGCAGUAGGGAAUACUGGACACGGGGCGCAAGCCUGACAAAGCAAUGCCGGGUGAGUGAUGCAGGCCUUAGGGUUGUAAAGCUCUUUUACCCGGGAUGAUAAUGACAGUACCGGGAGAAUAAGCACCGGCUAACUACGUG